GGAAAAUUAUCUUUAAGAAUUAUAUGCAUACCGUGCUCAAGACAAAACAGUUGGAUAAGGAUUGAGCUAUACGUAUAUAGUUGGUGGUCUCUGAAGAAUAUUAACGGCUAGCAGUGGAGAUUGCUGUAUGGGUGGGUACACUAGCUAGCUUAAGGUGGUUUGAAGUAUGUUGCAAAGCUUAUAGGGUUUGUCAGUGUCACAGCAGGGUUCCUGGGAGGAGUUGCACUCUCUCAUUUUGCUUUGUUGAGUCUCUUAAGAAAUUAAAUGCAGUCGGGUACCUUUUGGCCAAAAGAAAAGAAUUCUUAGUACCUAAACCUGCAAACUUUUACAGAUUCAUUGAAGACCUUUAAUUGCUAGGCCCCCCAAGGUCAUCGUUGGCGGAAGGAAACCAGAAAGGGUAAAAAAGGAAG
rnacentral:misc_RNA from 1 species